AAGUAAACAUCAAAAUCGUCAGAUCUUUUCUACGUGUAUGUCAGUGUAUAUUUACAUAUUACAAUGUUUUUCUAUUUCAAUUUUGUUUUUAUUACAGUGUCAUCUUUUGUUUUACAUUGUUUACCAGUUAAAGGUCGUAUUCAUUUAAAGAUCUACUAUAUGUAUGUACUGUACAUUAGGACUUCAAAGCAAAGCUAGAUGCAUGAUAAAUGUUAGUUUACGCUGUAUCUUAUUUUUCUCAAGAAACCAGUUUUUUUUCAUCUCUUUCUUAAGUUAAACCAAACUUUGAGUUUUCUAUCCUGAAUGACAAAAUCUUGGAAAAGUUUGGUAAAGAAUUAAUUACAAUUUGCAUUCUAAUGCAAUAAUAAAU
rnacentral:lncRNA from 1 species